GAGUUUAAGGUCAAGCCAACUUUGAGAAAUUUCCUCUUGAUUGGAAAAUAAGACUCGUAAGGUCAGAUGAGCUUUUCUCUUUUGACUAUGAAGAAGAGAGUAUUUAGAGACUGGAAGUUAAAACUUUUCCGGAGACCAAGAGGGCAGUUGUAGCAUUUCCUAAACUCAUAGCAAUUGUGUUUCAUACAGCUAAGUAUUAUCAGCUCCUUGCAGGUAGAGGAUGUUUGACACAUCUUAGCAUCUCCGAGUGCUAGAAGAAUAGAGCUGACCGUAAGGAUCAGGUGAGGAAACUGAAGCACAAGCUACACAGCUCCAGUGAGAAGCAGAGCUGGAACUGAUUCCACUUGGCUGAUUACCCAGGUCAGCUAGAUCCUACCCUCGUAUCCUGCAGUGCUUGCUUUCAGUGAACAGAAUAUCUACAGUAUUGUUUGAAUACUCAAGACCUGGGGGGCCCCACCAUCUGAUAUCUGAAAACAGACUUCCUGUGAAGCAGGAGUGAUGGUUUCCUGAGAACAAGUGCUUCACUAUCAAGACAUGGAAAGAUAGCACUCGGCUGCUAGUAACAAAUUGCACCAAAGUUACAAAUGCAGGCCAAGCCUUGGUAAAUAUUAAUGAUGAUGAUGAUUUUGUGACAUACUGAAAAUGUCAGAUUUUAGCAUUAUAAGCGUACUGUAGAUACUAGAAUGUAAUUGAACCAAAAUGAUGCUCGAGAGAAAUUUUGAAGUAAAUGUGCAAAUUAGGCUACCUAGUAUAAACUAGAAGUGCCUAAGUCAUUCUGUUCCUUAGUAAAGCACAACCAAGUAAGCCUUUUUUUUUUUGGCUGCUCUGCGUGGCAUGUGGAAUCUUAGUUCCCUGACCAGGGAUCGAACCCGUGCCCCCUGCAGUGGAAGCGUGGAGUCUUAACCACUGGACCACCAGGGAAGUCUCCCAGCAUGUAAGCCAUUUAUGCAGCAGAGCAUUUGUUUUUAGCUUCUGAGAUCUAUUUGGGUCGUCUACAACUGGUGGCAUGGAAAGGAAAAGAAGGCUGCAAAGACUGAACAAACAGCAUGCACUGUGGUAGCCUUUAUUUAAAAAUUGUGAGCUAACUACAGUUGUAGUGUUCUCAUUUACCAUUCUGAUGGCAUAAUAAACUGGGAGAACAUUAACACAACUUCAAGAAGGCAUCAAAAAACCUGUAAACAAACAUACACACCACGCAUGCGCGCACAUAUACAGCAUACAUGCACACAAAGAUUAUAGUCUAAACACAAUCAAAAGUGAUGAAGAAAAGCUUUGAAUGCUCUAAAUCAAAUUUAAAACACUUUAUUAUAAUAAACUGUGGCAAUACUGUGGCUAUAUGAAAAAUGUUGUAACUAACUGCUUAAAAAGCAAAAAGGAAAAUACUGGCAAUUUGAAACUAGCAGCAAGAAGCAGAUAAAAAUAGAAUGGAAGAUAACAUAAGACUAAGUAACAUCAAAAUUCUAAUGUUGAUACUGUGUAGGAUUGCACUGAAGUAAUUUAAAAUUGGUUCUUAAGGAACUCUCAGAAAGUCCCUUGAAAUAUUAAACUGCUGCGCUUUACAAACAGCGGAAAAGAAAAAAGUAUUUGGAAUGUUACACACACACAGAGGAAAUGUAUUAGGCAUAUCAGUUUAUGGUCUUUGUUUAUGCCCUUCAAAAAGCUUUAUAAAGAAAAAUUUAAGUGCCAAUGUAGUGAAAGAAAGUUAAAAAUUCCUAAAGAUGCAAGUCUGAGUGCAUUUAUCAGGUUAAGAAUAUAUUUCAAGGUUGGGGGGCAAGGCAUGAUUGAUGCACAUUC